rnacentral:rRNA from 1 species
AAGUAGUGCCUAUGCGCUAUUUAGUGGCAAACGGGUGAGUAACACGUAGCUUAGCUGUCCUAAAGUGGGGGAUAGCCGCGGGAAGCCGCGGGUAAUACCGCAUGUGAUCUACGGAUUAAAGCUUAAUGCGCUUUAGGAGGUGGCUGCGGCCCAUCAGGUUGUUGGCGGGGUAAUGGCCCACCAAGCCUAUGACGGGUAUCCGGCCUGAGAGGGUGAUCGGACACAUUGGAACUGAGACACGGUCCAGACUCCUACGGGAGGCAGCAGCUAGGAAUUUUCCGCAAUGGACGAAAGUCUGACGGAGCAACGCCGCGUGAAGGAUGAAGGUCUUUAGGGAUUGUAAACUUCUUUUAUAUGAGACGAGUAAGGACGGUAUCAUAAGAAUAAGUCCCGGCUAACUACGUGCCAGCAGCCGCGGUAAUACGUAGGGGGCUAGCGUUGUUCGGAAUUACUGGGUAUAAAGGGUGCGCAGGCGGAUUUCUAAGCAAGAGGUGAAAUGUCAAGGCUCAACCAUGGCACCGCCUUUUGAACUGGUUAUCUGGAGUACAGAAGGGGAGAGCAGAAUUU